rnacentral:rRNA from 1 species
AUUGAACGCUGGCGGCAGGCCUAACACAUGCCAGUCGAACGGUAACAGGAAACAGCUUGCUGUUUCGCUGACGAGUGGCGGACGGGUGAGUAAUGUCUGGGAAACUGCCUGAUGGAGGGGGAUAACUACUGGAAACGGUAGCUAAUACCGCAUAACGUCGCAAGACCAAAGAGGGGGACCUUCGGGCCUCUUGCCAUCGGAUGUGCCCAGAUGGGAUUAGCUAGUAGGUGGGGUAACGGCUCACCUAGGCGACGAUCCCUAGCUGGUCUGAGAGGAUGACCAGCCACACUGGAACUGAGACACGGUCCAGACUCCUACGGGAGGCAGCAGUGGGGAAUAUUGCACAAUGGGCGCAAGCCUGAUGCAGCCAUGCCGCGUGUAUGAAGAAGGCCUUCGGGUUGUAAAGUACUUUCAGCGGGGAUGAAGGGAGUAAAGUUAAUACCUUUGCUCAUUGACGUUACCCGCAGAAGAAGCACCGGCUAACUCCGUG